GACGAACGCUGGCGGCGUGCCUAAUACAUGCAAGUCGAGCGAACGAGGAAGAAACUUGUUUCUUCCUUUGUUAGCGGCGGAUGGGUGAGUAACACGUGGGCAACCUGCCCUGCAGUUGGGGAUAACUCCGGGAAACCGGGGCUAAUACCGAAUAAUCAGUUCCUUCGCAUGAAGGAACUCUGAAAGACGGCUAUGCUGUCACUGCAGGAUGGGCCCGCGGCGCAUUAGCUAGUUGGUGAGGUAACGGCUUACCAAGGCGACGAUGCGUAGCCGACCUGAGAGGGUGAUCGGCCACACUGGGACUGAGACACGGCCCAGACUCCUACGGGAGGCAGCAGUAGGGAAUCUUCCACAAUGGACGAAAGUCUGAUGGAGCAACGCCGCGUGAGCGAAGAAGGUUUUCGGAUCGUAAAGCUCUGUUGUGAGGGAAGAACAAGUACAGGAGUAACUGCCUGUACCUUGACGGUACCUCAUUAGAAAGCCACGGCUAACUACGUGC
rnacentral:rRNA from 1 species